CCUACGGGGGGCAGCAGUGAGGAAUAUUGGUCAAUGGGCGUAAGCCUGAACCAGCCAAGUCGCGUGAGGGAUGAAGGUCCUAUGGAUCGUAAACUUCUUUUAUAAGGGAAUAAAGUGUGGGACGUGUCCUGUUUUGUAUGUACUUUAUGAAUAAGGAUCGGCUAACUCCGUGCCAGCAGCCGCGGUAAUACGGAGGAUCCGAGCGUUAUCCGGAUUUAUUGGGUUUAAAGGGUGCGUAGGCGAGCUGUUAAGUCAGCGGUGAAAGUCUGUGGCUCAACCAUAGAAUUGCAGUUGAUACUGGGAGGCUUGAGUAUGUUUGAGGCAGGCGGAAUGCGUGGUGUAGCGGUGAAAUGCUUAGAUAUCACGCAGAACCCCGAUUGCGAAGGCAGCCUGCCAAGCCAUGACUGACGCUGAUGCACGAAAGCGUGGGGAUCAAACAGGAUUAGAUACCCGGGUAGUC
rnacentral:rRNA from 1 species